rnacentral:rRNA from 1 species
UACGUAGGGUGCAAGCGUUAAUCGGAAUUACUGGGCGUAAAGCGUGCGCAGGCGGUUUUGUAAGUCUGACGUGAAAUCCCCGGGCUUAACCUGGGAAUGGCGUUGGAGACUGCAAGGCUAGAAUCUGGCAGAGGGGGGUAGAAUUCCACGUGUAGCAGUGAAAUGCGUAGAUAUGUGGAGGAACACCGAUGGCGAAGGCAGCCCCCUGGGCUAAGAUUGACGCUCAUGCACGAAAGCGUGGGGAGCAAACAGG